rnacentral:rRNA from 1 species
AUUGAACGCUGGCGGCAGGCUUAACACAUGCAAGUCGAGCGGUAACAGGCCUUCGGGUGCUGACGAGCGGCGGACGGGUGAGUAACGCGUAGAAAACUGCCCGGUAGUGGGGGAUAGCCCAGAGAAAUUUGGAAUAAUACCGCAUACGCUCUACGGAGGAAAGCGGGCUUCGGCUCGCGCUAUCGGAUGUGUCUGCGUGAGAUUAGCUAGUUGGUGAGGUAAUGGCUCACCAAGGCGACGAUCUCUAGCUGGUCUGAGAGGAUGAUCAGCCACACUGGGACUGAGACACGGCCCAGACUCCUACGGGAGGCAGCAGUGGGGAAUAUUGCACAAUGGGGGAAACCCUGAUGCAGCCAUGCCGCGUGUGUGAAGAAGGCC